rnacentral:rRNA from 1 species
AGAGCUUGCUCUUAUGAAGUUAGCGGCGGACGGGUGAGUAACAGGGGGGUAACCUGCCCAUAAGACUGGGAUAACUCCGGGAAACCGGGGCUAAUACCGGAUAACAUUUUGAACCGCAUGGUUCAAAAUUGAAAGGCGGCUUCGGCUGUCACUUAUGGAUGGACCCGCGUCGCAUUACCUAGUUGGUGAGGUAACGGCUCACCAAGGCAACGAUGCGUAGCCGACCUGAGAGGGUGAUCGGCCACACUGGGACUGAAACACGGCCCAGACUCCUACGGGAGGCAGCAGUAGGGAAUCUUCCGCAAUGGACGAAAGUCUGACGGAGCAACGCCGCGUGAGUGAUGAAGGCUUUCGGGUCGUAAAACUCUGUUGUUAGGGAAGAACAAGUGCUAGUUGAAUAAGCUGGCACCUUGACGGUACCUAACCAGAAAGCCACGGCUAACUACGUGCCAGCAGCCGCGGUAAUACGUAGGUGGCAAGCGUUAUCCGGAAUUAUUGGGCGUAAAGCGCGCGCAGGUGGUUUCUUAAGUCUGAUGUGAAAGCCCACGGCUCAACCGUGGAGGGUCAUUGGAAACUGGAAGACUUGAGUGCAGAAGAGGAAAAGUGGAAUUCCUUGUGUAGCGGUGAAAUGCGUAAGAGAUAUGGAGGAACACCAGUGGCGAAGGCGACUUUUCUGGUCUGUAACUGACGCUGAGGCGCGAAAGCGUGGGGAGCAAAACAGGAUUAGAUACCCUGGGUAGUCCCACGCCGUAAACGAUGAGUGCUAAG